UACGAAGGUGGCAAGCGUUGUUCGGAUUUACUGGGCGUACAGGGAGCGUAGGCGGUUGGAUAAGCCCUCCGUGAAAUCUCCAGGCUUAACCUGGAAAGUGCAGAGGGGACUGUUCAGCUAGAGGAUGGGAGAGGAGCGCGGAAUUCCAGGUGUAGCGGUGAAAUGCGUAGAUAUCUGGAGGAAUACCGGUGGCGAAGGCGGCAUCCUGGACCGGCAUUGACGCUGAGGAGCGAAAGCCAGGGGAGCAAACGGG
rnacentral:rRNA from 1 species